GUCCAUGCCGUAAACGAUGAAGACUGGCUGUUGGGUGCCCUUGGGCACUUAGUAGCGAAGCUAACGCGUUAAGUCUUCCGCCUGGGGAGUACGGCCGCAAGGUUAAACUCAAAGGAAUUGACGGGGCCCGCACAAGCGGUGGAACAUGUGGUUUAAUUCGACGCAACGCGAAGAACCUUACCUACCCUUGACAUGCUCGGAAUCUGCCAGAGAUGGUGGAGUGCCUUCGGGAACCGAGACACAGGUGCUGCAUGGCUGUCGU
rnacentral:rRNA from 1 species